rnacentral:snoRNA from 1 species
AAUCCGUGAUGUGGGCAGCAUCUCAAAAGAUCCUUAAACCUCUCCCAUGCAUCGUACAUGCUUUCAUCAUCAAACAGCACAAAAGAAGAUAUGUCAUUUCUCUCAAGGUC